rnacentral:misc_RNA from 1 species
CCCGUAGGUAACCCUACAAACUCCAAUUUAAAUAUCUGCUAUCUCGCUCAUGAGUGGCAACGCAGAAGAAACUAUUGCACGGAAUUACCUAGUAGCCCAGCCAUGGCCUCCAAGCUUCUAGCGUCCGCCUUCCGCCGAACCUUAGCAAGGACCACCAACACUUGCGCUUACCGCGGCAUCUCCACCGCUGCGGCAGCCGUCGUUGCUUCGUCUCGGGAACCGUUUGAGGAUCAAGGAGUAGUCACAGUGAAAGGCGUGAAAAUCUCUGCUCGGCCUCUCUACCUAGAUAUGCAGGCAACCUCCCCCGUGGACCCCAGAGUCCUUGAUGCUAUGCUUCCUUAUUAUCUCGCGCGUUUUGGCAACCCUCACUCUCGUACUCACCUCUAUGGCUGGGAGUCCGAUUCUGCGGUCGAGAUCGCCCGCACUCAGGUGGCGGAUUUAAUCGGUGCGUCCCCUAAAGAAAUCGUCUUCACUUCGGGGGC